UGCUUUUCUUGACUUAGUGGCGAACGGGUGAGUAACGCGUGAGUAACCUGCCCUGGAGUGGGGGACAACAGUUGGAAACGACUGCUAAUACCGCAUAAGCCCACGGCCCGGCAUCGGGCUGCGGGAAAAGGAUUUAUUCGCUUCAGGAUGGACUCGCGUCCAAUUAGCUAGUUGGUGAGGUAACGGCCCACCAAGGCGACGAUUGGUAGCCGGACUGAGAGGUUGAACGGCCACAUUGGGACUGAGACACGGCCCAGACUCCUACGGGAGGCAGCAGUGGGGGAUAUUGCACAAUGGGGGAAACCCUGAUGCAGCGACGCCGCGUGGAGGAAGAAGGUUUUCGGAUUGUAAACUCCUGUCGUUAGGGACGAUAAUGACGGUACCUAACAAGAAAGCACCGGCUAACUACGUGCCAGCAGCCGCGGUAAAACGUAGGGUGCAAGCGUUGUCCGGAAUUACUGGGUGUAAAGGGAGCGCAGGCGGACCGGCAAGUUGGAAGUGAAAACUAUGGGCUCAACCCAUAAAUUGCUUUCAAAACUGCUGGCCUUGAGUAGUGCAGAGGUAGGUGGAAUUCCCGGUGUAGCGGUGGAAUGCGUAGAUAUCGGGAGGAACACCAGUGGCGAAGGCGACCUACUGGGCACCAACUGACGCUGAGGCUCGAAAGCAUGGGUAGCAAACAGGAUUAGAUACCCUGGUAGUCCAUGCCGUAAACGAUGAUUACUAGGUGUUGGAGGAUUGACCCCUUCA
rnacentral:rRNA from 1 species